rnacentral:rRNA from 1 species
AGAGUUUGAUUAUGGCUCAGGAUGAACGCUAGCUACAGGCUUAACACAUGCAAGUCGAGGGGCAGCAUGUUGGUUGCUUGCAACCAAUGAUGGCGACCGGCGCACGGGUGAGUAACGCGUAUCCAACCUACCCUUGUCCAUCGGAUAACCCGUCGAAAGGCGGCCUAACACGAUAUGCGGUUCUCAGCAGGCAUCUAACGAGAACGAAAUGUGAAGGAGAAGGAUGGGGGAUGCGUCUGAUUAGCUUGUUGGCGGGGUAACGGCCCACCAAGGCGACGAUCAGUAGGGGUUCUGAGAGGAAGGUCCCCCACAUUGGAACUGAGACACGGUCCAAACUCCUACGGGAGCA